rnacentral:misc_RNA from 1 species
GAUGAAGAACGUAGCGAAAUGCGAUAAGUAAUGCGAAUUGCAGAAUUCCGUGAGUCAUCGAAUCUUUGAACGCACAUUGCGCCCCCUGGUAUUCCGGGGGGCAUGCCUGUUCGAGCGUCAUUUCACCACUCAAGCCUCGCUUGGUAUUGGGCAACGCGGUCCGCCGCGUGCCUCAAAUCGACCGGCUGGGUCUUCUGUCCCCUAAGCGUUGUGGAAACUAUUCGCUAAAGGGUGUUCGGGAGGCUACGCCGUAAAACAACCCCAUUUCUAAGGUUGACCUCGGAUCAGGUAGGGAUACCCGCUGAACUUAAGCAUAUCAAUAAGCGGAGGA